rnacentral:rRNA from 1 species
CGCGUAGGCGGUUUUUUAAGUCAGAUGUGUAAUCCCCGAGCUUAACUUGGGAACUGCAUCUGAGACUGGAAGGCUAGAGUACUGGAGAGGGUGGUGGAAUUCCUCGUGUAGCGGUGAAAUGCGUAGAGAUGAGGAGGAACACCAGUGGCGAAGGCGGCCACCUGGACAGUAACUGACGCUGAGGCGCGAAAGUAUGGGUAGCAAACAGGAUUAGAUACCCUGGUAGUCCACGCUGUAAACGAUGAACACUUGGUGUGGAGGGAGUUGACCCCUUCCGUGCCGGAGCUAACGCGUUAAGUGUUCCGCCUGGGGAGUACGGUCGCAAGGCUGAA